GUGCCUAACACAUGCAAGUCGAACAAGAAAGUGGAGCAAUCCAUGAGUACAGUGGCGUACGGGUGAGUAACACGUGACUAACCUACCCUCGAGUGGGGAAUAACUUCGGGAAACCGAGGCUAAUACCGCAUAACAUCUACGGAUCAAAUGCGUAAGCAGCUUGAGGAGGGGGUCGCGGCUGAUUAGCUAGUUGGCGGGGUAACGGCCCACCAAGGCAAUGAUCAGUAGCCGGCCUGAGAGGGCGCACGGCCACACUGGAACUGAAACACGGUCCAG
rnacentral:rRNA from 1 species